AUGAUGGUUUCUUUGAUGCUCACCAUCCUUGAAUUGAAUUUUUUAAUCUGUUUCAGGUUAGACAUAACUUGGACCAGGUCAAAACAAUUUUGGAGGCUUUGAUUAAGAGGGAAGAGAAGAAGCGAGAGGUCAUGGGCUGUGAGGUCAACCUUCAGCGUAUUCAAUCAAAGUACAAGCACGGGGCACAGCUUGUUGGAGAUAAGGCAGCAUUGCUAGGCUUUGCACCAGCUCCAUGCAACUUUGGAUCAAGUGAAGAUGAUUUUAUGGACUCAUAUGACACAGCAAAUCAUCAUUCACAUGCUUGGCCCAUUGUUGUUCAUUCGCGGUCCAGAGAUUCCAAGCUGGUGAUGGUCCCUGCAGGAUGCAUGAUGCGAGAUUUGAAAUGGAGAUCUCUGCCAAAUGGAUGGCUACAUAAGAGGGGCCCAGAUGAGCCAGUUUUUUUAUUUACAAGACUUCUGGAUCCGGACAAGCUGGCUGCUGCCGGCAUUAUGCAGCCACCAGGUCCACCCAUUGAUAAUGGUUCAAUAGUGCCUCCAUACCGCUUCCAUGGGAGGAUUGGCCGAGGAGGAUGCAUUAUCUUUGACCGAUGGAACCCCCUUUUCCAACCUCCACUUGGCCCUGAAAGCUUCCCUGCCAAAUCUUCGGCCUCCACCACCAAAUGGUUGAACCUGUGCCGUUUGCUGUUCGUUUCCAUGUUUCAGCUGCAGAGAUGAAUUGUUUCAGAAUGUUUGGCCGAAGGUCCCCUUGGUUCUUGAGAUUCUAUUUAUUCUCCAGAUGAUUUUUGAGCAUUAGAAUGUCAUGAUGGUUGGAUUCAGCCAUCUUUGUAUCAGGGCCUGGGGAGGCUGCAUCGUCGAUCAUCGUCAUUUGGUAUGAGUUUGUUGGCGUCAAACAAGUUGGACUUUACAGACUGCAAGUCUAGCCUUCCCCACAAUUGUCCAAAUUAUUCACAUUCCAAGGUGAAAAACAAGCAUUUUUCCUAACAGUCGUCCCAUUUUUGGCUUGUAUGGUUCAAUCUAAUGUCAUGCUCUUGUCCCUAUUCUUAAUUGAAAAAUGUCUAUUGCUUCCUUGA